UGGGGAAUCUUGCACAAUGGGGGAAACCCUGAUGCAGCGACGCCGCGUGAACGAUGAAGCCCUUCGGGGUGUAAAGUUCUUUCGACAGGAACGAUAAUGACGGUACCUGGAGAAGAAGCUGCGGCUAACUACGUGCCAGCAGCCGCGGUAAUACGUAGGCAGCGAGCGUUGUUCGGAGUUACUGGGCGUAAAGAGUGCGUAGGCGGCGAGCCAAGUUUGGUGUGAAAUCUCCCGGCUUAACCGGGAGGGUGCGCCGAAGACUGGUUGGCUGGAGUAUGGGAGAGGAAAGCGGAAUUCCUGGUGUAGCGGUGAAAUGCGUAGAUAUCAGGAGGAACACCUGCGGUGUAGACAGCUUUCUGGACCAAAACUGACGCUGAGGCACGAAAGCGUGGGUAGCAAACA
rnacentral:rRNA from 1 species